ACGCACGCUGGCGGCGUGCUUAACACAUGCCAGUCGCACGGAAAGGCCCUGCUUUUGUGGGGUGCUCGCGUGGCGAACGGGUGAGUAACACGUGAGUAACCUGCCCUUGACUUUGGGAUAACUUCAGGAAACUGGGGCUAAUACCGGAUAGGAGCUCCUGCUGCAUGGUGGGGGUUGGAAAGUUUCGGCGGUUGGGGAUGGACUCGCGGCUUAUCAGCUUGUUGGUGGGGUAGUGGCUUACCAAGGCUUUGACGGGUAGCCGGCCUGAGAGGGUGACCGGCCACAUUGGGACUGAGAUACGGCCCAGACUCCUACGGGAGGCAGCAGUGGGGAAUAUUGCACAAUGGGCGGAAGCCUGAUGCAGCAACGCCGCGUGCGGGAUGACGGCCUUCGGGUUGUAAACCGCUUUCGCCUGUGACGAAGCGUGAGUGACGGUAAUGGGUAAAGAAGCACCGGCUAACUACGUG
rnacentral:rRNA from 1 species